ensembl:lncRNA
UAUAUAUAUAUAUAUAUAUAUAUAUAUAUAUAUAUAUAAAUUCUUAAAACAUUAUAUUAGACAUUAGUAACUUAAAGAGGCAUGCCAAAACUGGCAUAAUGUGAAAGAUGUCAGACUACUACAUGAAAGCUGAUUUAAAAAUUCACCACAAUGCAGUCAUUAUAAAUUAGCAGAUCCUCACAUAUGUAUGUAUAACUGUUAAAUAAUUUGUCAGAAGAGUCUGUUUGGAUUCUUUUUUCUUCAUCUUCAUUUAAAGGUUGGUGAGAUGUUUUUCUUUUUUCUUUUUCUCAAAAAUAGCAUCUUUUACAGUUUUCAUUUAUUUUGAAAUGAAUGAAUGUGUAAAGUUGGUAAUGAAUGGACUUUAUUACAUUAUUUCCAGCUAUGUGUAUGUAUAUAUAUCUUUUUUUUUUGGCAGAAAGGAGGCAAAAUGUUCUUUUUAUUCCCUUUUGGAUGUUUGCAAGAGGCUUUUCAUAACCUCAUGUUGCAUUUAUAAGAUAAUUUGAUUAAGAGAGUAUUUUCGUACAGCAGAAUUGUAGCAUCUUCUCAGUGGCAGCUGUGAUUUUUUUUUUUUUUUCUUUUUCUUUUCUCUCCAGAACAUGUUCUAUUGUGGGAAUUUUAUUUUUAUUACAUUUUUUUGCUAUGCAGGUAUAUGUGGCAUGUAGCUCAAAGCUUUAGUGUAGAAACCUCAGUUUGCAUGUUUCUUUAGCUAUUAAAACAUCACAGUUCAGGCCAAUAUGCAUUGUGCAGUUAAAUUAGGAAACCUUGAGCCAGAUUGCAAAUUUCUGCUGUUGAUGCUGUGCUACUCAAAAGAUUUUUGUUUGUGUAAGAUUAUUAGCAUAUUUCAAAAUCAUAUUUUAGUGGACAAACUUUAAUUCUUUAUCCAUUCUGUCAUGCAGUGAUGAGCUGUGAAUUUUUUCUUAUGUUUUAUAUGGUUUAUUACAGUUAAUGGAUGUGAGGAGCAGAUGUUAUGGGGACAGUCGUUUAAUGUCAGUUAAAAAAUGAUGUGUGAUACCCUGUUUGUAAUUGAUGAAAGAAUGGUUUAAUGCUCAUGACUGUGUGACUUUGUGAGUGAUUUAUGUUUUGUCUCUAUUGUUUAUUUCAUUUGAAUAUAGCUGGAGGUUAUAGUAUGUAUUACAGUAAAACAUGAAAUAGAAUGAUUGUGCCAUCUGUCCCAAACCUCAGUACAUUCAUAUGAGUGAUAACAGUAGGGUUUUUCUUUGUGUAUCUGAAAAAGUAUCUAUAUCAGGGAUGUUUUUUUUUUUUUUUUUUAAUUUUCCAGAGGAACCAAUUUAAAGAUUAAAUUGGUAAACUGUUUCUUAUUGAAUUGACUGUAGUAAAUCAUUUUUGUGAAUCUACAUUUUUUUUUUUAGGUUUAUUUUUCUGAUUUCUUCAAUUUGAACAUACAUUUGUCAUUCAAAUGUGUUCAUAAAUCUUAUUAAAUUGUGUUCUAUAUUGUUAUCAUUA